GCUUGUAUUGCCGUUCACUAAGGUAGACCGUUCAUAUCAAACUUGUCCCGUACGUGUUGUUAUCUGUUUUUGGACACUGAGAAUAGAGGAUUGUGGUGUACACUUCUAUAUUUAAACUAUCCACUUUCCCAUUUUUUAUACCUUUCGCAUGGAGUGGCCCUUAUCAUUUUUAUUUUUUAUUUCGGCUCAGUAUAGCAUUGUUCCGGGUAACACAUGAUUGUUGCACUUGCCUAUUUACAAAAACAUCUUUUUGCCGUUUUGACCAACACAUUCAGGACAGAAUUGACCAUUUUAUGAAUGUUACAUUAAUACCAUUAUUGACGGAUACAAUCGUGUUUCAAAAAUAUUUUAACGAACUUCAACAACGUGUCCUGUAAAAUUUAUCAAUAACACUGCAUGUU
rnacentral:lncRNA from 1 species